rnacentral:tRNA from 1 species
GGGCCUAUAGUUAAAAGGUUUAUAACGCACGACUCAUAAUCCUGUAUUCCUGGUUCGAGUCCAGGUAGGCCCA